ensembl:lncRNA LINC02362 long intergenic non-protein coding RNA 2362
AGAACCCCAGCUGCAAGUGAGACUGGAAAAAUGGCUCUCAGAGUUCCCGCCUCUGCAGUAGAGGAAGACACUCCAGAAGGAGUUGAGAAUGGGUGCUGAGUGCCUCUUCAGGAUGUCUGUCACACCUCAGGAAACCUGCCAGGAAUACCAAAGGGAGUGAAAAAUCCAAGGAAUACUUGUCAUUGAAAUUAGGGCCCACCUGGAUAAUCCAUGAUGAUCUCAUCUCAAGAUCCUUAACUUAAUGACAUCUGCAGAGACUGGUUUAUCAAAUAAGGGACUGUGGCUAUAUCGCUGACCUCAAGAAAACCUGCGGACAAAAUCUGCUAAAGAAGUAUCAGCAUCUAUUUCAAAAGUUAGCCAUUAUUUUAAGAAGACUGUGCUGGAAGACGGGUAUUUAACACAAACAGAUGCAAAAGAUACGGGGUUUCACCGUGUUGACCAGACUGAUUUUGAACUUCUGGGCUCAAUCAGUCCACCUGCCUCGGCCUCCCAAAGUGCUGAGAUUAUAGGUGUGAGCCCCUGCGCCUGGCCAGGGAUGCCGUUCUUCACUCUCCACACUCCAACCAGCAAUGAAGGAGAUCUGAGGUCUCGGCAUCCUCAUUCACACCUGGGUGGAAACAAAGUUAAACAGAUUUCUCUACGGCAGCAGGACUCAGAGCUUUUUUGAAUUGUCUGACGGGCAGAUUGCUGGGAAUUCUUUUUCUAUGGUCAAGUAAAGAUUACAAGGCUAGAAUUCCAGCGAAGCUAUUUUGGCAAAUACUGACCUACAUGAUUGAAGGGGUCCAGAAUAUGCCACCCCAAAAUAUGCCACUUUGACAUACGGCUUAUUUUGGGCUGCAAGCGAUUGAAAAUGAGCAGAUGCAGGAUGAAUCCUCUGCUCUCUUUUUCUACCUGAAACCAGGGCGUAACAUUCCCUUUGUGGAAGGUGUUCCUCGACUCCCAUAGCAGGAAGUGUAGAGCAACUCUUACCAUCAAAGAUGGACAGUCAGCAUUGAGAUGAGUCUGCAUAAACAAACUUUUUUUUUUAAAGUUUGUUCCAUUAAUCUCCCCCAUGUAUUUGCUAGUCACUUUCCCACAAUUUAUCAUCCCUUUCCUUUGUUAAAAUGAUAUAUACGUCCCUGAGCCUAAUCACUUUGCAUUUCACUACUUUUCUGUGAACUCCUAUGCACGUAAAAAUAUAAAUACAUUUGUAUUCC